rnacentral:tRNA from 1 species
AGAGAGUUGCUCGAGUGGUUGAAGAGGCACGCCUGGAAAGUGUGUAUGGCAGCAAUGUCAUCGCGGGUUCGAAUCCCGCACUCUCUG